rfam:Glycine soja cultivar W05 scaffold3294_42, whole genome shotgun sequence.
AUAUCCCCUAGAGUUCCUCUGAUCACUUCAUUGAGUUUGCUUGUGGCUUCAAAGAAUUAUCAAAAUUCUCAAAGCAUGCAUGCAACACUGAAGUGUUUUGGGAAACUCCGGGUGCCAA